rnacentral:lncRNA from 1 species
GGCAGCAACCCCUACUGCAUAACAAUAAAGGAAUACAUGGACAUCAACGGGUACGAAAGUAAGGGAAACCUAACACAUCCAUAGUAAGAUACUAAGAUACUGAGUGUCCCUUUCACAAAGAAAAAAUAAAAAGAGAAAAAGAUUCGAGUGAUCAUAGAGGGAGGAUUUUGAUGCCAAACCAACAAACUAAUUUGAAGCCAAACCUAAGUUUGUCAAGCUAUCUGCAACUCAUGAAUACCCCUCUUUCAGAAUGUGAGAGCAACGAAUCGGUCGAACACGAUUUAAGCAUGUUCAUGACUUAGCAAUUAAUAGAGGCCAUGGUGGGAUCUCCAGCCUGUUUGAGCCCAGUAGGUACUUUUGGUCCAAGACUCGGGGUACGUUUUGAAUAACAUUUGGGCCAGUACCUGUGGCCCUUUUUUAAUGUGAAGCCCACGAAGGGUGGCGAAGUCUGGCAACACGCGAGCUGGAGUUUGGCAAAGAUUCCGAUACCCCGCGGGAUUCGAUGUCCUUGCGGGAUCCUUUGUUUCAGUUCGUGUAGGAUUCUGCAGUACAUGGCGAGGUAGAGUUGGAAAUGGGCUGUAAUACUCCGCGGGAUAUGAUCGCUUAGUGUUCGAGUUCGCGUACGACGCUACAGUGAGGUGAUGCGGGGUAGUGAGCACGACCUAGGCGAAGUCUGUUUUGGACACGUGUUGCAUGGAUCGCGCGGCUCGCGAGCUGGUCGUUUCCUGGUGGAAUUCUAAUUGCUGAGGCCGAAUGGAUUUGUGAUUAGGUCUCUGCGAAUUGCUUGCGGAUCGCUAUAUAAGGGAGCUUGACACAACGAACAAAGGACACAAUCAAUCAUACAAAACAACUGCAAAUCUUCGAGCAUCCUCGAAACCCUAAGUUCUAAGUGUACCUCGCCUUAGAUUUCAGAGCCCGUCUGGACUCGCCUCUCUUUCCCAAUUGUUGCUCUGCUCGCUUCGAACAGCGAGUAUCGAUUCAUAGGUGACUAGAUAGUUUGCUCGUAAUUCCUCACCCGCGAGGUGACACCGGAGCUCUACUUCGCCUGAUUAGAAGUCAAGAACGCGCACCGUUCUCGUUCCGCGUCCGCGCGGUGGCACGCCCUGCAAACCCUAAUUUACUUUUGGUAGCACAAGUUACCUCUCUACCCCUACUGAGGAUCGUGGCCAAAACAUUGGCACGCCCAGUGGGACCGGGAGUAUAACAUUCUCCCCACCAUUGAGAAAUCAGGCGGAUCCCCAUAUGGGAGACCCUCGAUUUCUUGUUUGAAACAUAAAUCUCCUCAAUACAAGCCCCAUAACAGCGCGGCUUGCCGAUCUCUCACCCAAGAAGAGGUUCUCGCUCGGUUUGGCAACCCCGACCAUAGCGAAACCACAAUGACAGGUUCACGACCAACCCAAGACGCAGGACUUACUCUGCCCGCGGAUGAAGUCCGCCAGAUGUUUGGGGAACUGAAGAAUGAUCUCGACUCGCUCAAGAGGGAGCUCGGCUCGAAGGUCGACACCACCCAGCAAAACAUUGACUCGCUCAGCCUGAAAGUCGACACCACCCAGCAAAGCGUCCAAGACCUCUCUGAACAGGUCACGAAAGAGAGAACUAUCUGGCUCGCUAACCAAGAAAACCUUUCUAGGCUCAGCGAGGAGUUUAACUACGUUGCGGGUAAAGUCAGGGAAGAUAAGGACUUGGUGGACGGCUCCCUUCAAAGGAUCCAGAAAGAUUUGGAUCAGAGCAAGGCGGCUUUCACAAAAACCCUGGAUGUGCAAACCCGUCGCUUGGACGAACACGACACCAAGCUACAACAACAGCAGGACGCUUCUUUCUUUGGAAGUAAGAAUAGCAUGGAAAAGCUUGAGGACUACAAGGAGCAACAUGAUAACUUGAGCUUAAGGGUCCUGCAGUGGAAGACUGGAUGCGGUCUCAAGCACCACAGAAAACCCUGGAUGUGCAAACCCGUCGCUUGGACGAACACGACACCAAGCUACAACAACAGCAGGACGCUUCUUUCUUUGGAAGUAAGAAUAGCAUGGAAAAGCUUGAGGACUACAAGGAGCAACAUGAUAACUUGAGCUUAAGGGUCCUGCAAGUGGAAGACUGGAUGCGGUCUCAGGCACCAAAGAAUCAUGCUAUGAACUUAAUUAGUUCAAGUGCAACUGAGGGCUCAAGGUAUAUUCCACCUAAUGAACGCCCUAGAGGAAAUCCAAGGGUCGGGGCCCAGAAAACUCCCCAAUUCACAUUGGGGGCCAGUUCGUCAAAAAUGCCACCCCGUCUACCCUCGCCGGGCGGCCUGGGAGUCACACUCAGGGGCACUGGUGGCUUCCCAUCUCAAGGGAUCGGGACACCAGAUGAUCCAGUUAUAGCUUAUUCCAGUUCGACCCCUAAGAACAUCGGGCAGGCCCCUAGCCUCUCUGCAUGGCACGGCCACGAUCAGGGGGCAGAAUCCACAUCAGUAACGGCAGCAGAUUGGUGCCAGCUCAUCUCGAGCAUAGUCAAGGAGCAAACUGGAAAAGGUGACGCUAGCUUGCAUUAUCGUGAUCCCUAUCCUGAUAGCGUGGCACAAUAUCCCUUCCCUCAUGGGUUUAAGAAUAUUGUCUUCACCACUUUCUCCGGGGAGACAAGACAAGGGAAGAUGCAGCAACACACAUGGCCCGUUUUAAGGUCCAAUGCGGCCAAUACGGGAAUGAUGAUAUGCUCAAACUCAAACUCUUCGGGACUUCUCUGUCCGGGGCUGCUUUCACCUGGUACUCCAGAUUGAAGCCUGGGUCAAUAGCAGAUUGGCCCACUAUGGAAAGACUCUUCCGAGAAACGUACGGCACGAUUGAGCCUGAAGUUGGCCUUGACUCCCUCACACAGAUGAGCUAGCAGAGCAUGGAGUCCGGAGUUUCUUUCCUCCAACGCUUCAAGAUCCAGCAAGCCAAGUGUGAUUACCUGCUACCUGAGCAGGAAGCCAUUAAGUUGGCUAUUAGAGGUCUGGAGCACCGCCAGCGGUUGAAGCACCAUGGAGAGCACUUUAAUUCCAUGGGUGACCUGAUUAACAAAGUCGACAGCUACGAGCUAAUCCUGAACGAGUUGGACGACAAAACAAAUGCUUCCAAAGGAACCUACAUACCAGGGAAAAACCGGAUAGUGGGGGCACUAAACAAACAAACCCCUACUCAUGAUCCAUAUUAUCAAAGACCUGAGGGAGUUCAUACGGAUCAGGACCUGGAUGACAUUGGCGCAGUAGAAUUGACUGGCAAGCCAUUAGCUCAUAAGUUGAAGAACCUGAAGAUGACACGUGAGCCAAUCACCAUCCAGUCCUUUGCAUGGACCAAGCCGGAGUACGAGUCGUACACCUAUGAUGCUAAGAACGCCCAUUUGGUCUUUAAUGACCUAAUAGAGGCGAGAUAUAUGCGCCUGGAUCAUAAGAUCCCACCCAAGAAAGAGCUGAAGGACAAGAAGUACUGCUCCUUCCACAAUGUUUACAAUCAUGACACCAAAGAUUGUGUCAAGCUUCGAGACCAGCUGCAGACAUGGCUGAACUCAGGCGAGCUAAAGAUGAAAACACCGGGUAGUACGGCCUCGUUGGUUGAUAUAGACCCUUUCCCGCCUGUAGUUGGCAUGGUCGAGGUAAACUGGGCCAAUCAGACCAAGGACGACGAUCGACGCCGGGCACUUAAAAGGGGCCGCGAGGAAGGUGACGACAGUGCCCGCCGGCCACGUCGCCAAUACACCUACAACGAAGAUCUUGCACAUGAGGUUUUAGACGAUCUCAUCGACGAUGGGCUCGUCACAGUGGCUAAUUCCUUGCCUUACGUAGAAUAUAAGGAGGGGCGCAUUCACUGCAAGUUUCAUAAUAGCUGGGGGCACAGAACCAGCGAAUGCCAGCAGCUUAGAGACCAGGUUCAAGACUGGCUCGACCUCGGGUAUAUUCACUUUGAGAAUAAGGGCGACUUCAUGAUCGCAACCGCUGACUUCAUGAUCGCAAUGGCUGACUUCGCUUGGCCUCGAGUCGGCCAGCGAAGAAUCACAUUAGACUUGUCACCAAAUACAAGUUUACGUGAACCGCCAGGCCGAAAUCGCAAACGACCGGCGAAUAACUAUACUGUCCCGAAUAACCAGCAGGGGAAAGCAGACGACCCAGCUUGACAGUUGGUCGCUAAGCUCGGAACAGACCGCCCCUCCCGCAAAGAUAAGGGCAAAGCAGUCAUGAGGGACGAUGGACUGUUCCCCGUUGAAGAUCCCCAGCCUAUGAGUCCCAGGACUCGAGAAGAGCUGGAAAGGAGGAUAGAGCGUCUCGAAACGUUCGUCUAUACACAUUGGGCAGAGGCGGUACCUUCUUCCCCUGCCACAAGUGAGAUAGACAUGUCAGACUCCAGUGGUGAGCGUCACAACAACGAGGCCUCGAGCCCUCGUAAAGGCGUCCUAACCGACCCCUAUAUUCCCCCGACGUCCAAAUUAGCAAUCAAGGAUGGAGUCUGGUACACACAGCAAGGGGGCAAGGCAGUUACCAUCAGCAGGGCUAAGAAGCGAAAGCUCCAAAAGCGAUACGGUAGUAUCCUACGUGCCUUACGGGCUGUCGAAGAGGGCGCUGUACGCCCCUCACAGCUCGCACAGACGCCUGAGCGGAUGUGGAGGGAAGCAGAGGGUUUGCGCGCAUUCCUUCAAAUGCCGCCUGUCACACCCCUAAGGAUUUGCGAGCAGUUCAGCGACGAGCCUGCACCCAAAGCAAACGUCUUUUGCCGACUCGCGGUUCCACCAAAGCAGGAUCCACAGCCUUCCAGGCACAGGCCAUCAUCAGAACCUGAAAGAAGAAAAGAUCCAUAGCCUUCCAGGCGCAGGCCAUCACCAGAACCUGAAAGAAGAAGGGAUCCACAGCCUGCUAGGCCCAAACCGUCACCAAAGCCUGAAAAGAGGAGGGAUCAACAGCCUUCCAGGCGCAGGCCGCCACCGGAGCCUGAGCGGAGAGAGACUCCGCCUACCGGUCCUAGGCGUAAGCUGUUCACAACCCCGGACCCAGAGUCCAAACGCGAACCGUCUCAGCCCUCACGGUAACGGGAACGUCAAAAUCCGGAGGCCAAUAUCAGAAGGGAGCCACCACCACCACAGCAGCCUCGGGCACGGUCUACCCCGGAGCCCGAGACUCAGAUGAUUCCCAGAAUAUCCGUCCUACAACGGUUGAAAAAAGAAGACAACGAUAAGGCUUCUCUGGCAACAGACAAACAACUGGCCAAGGACCAUCAGCCUUCAACCAAGUCAGUAUGGCGUCCGCGGCAACCCGAGGUUCAAGAGCCACCAAUAGCCGCACAGGCGCCCGCCAGUCCUAACCUCGCCCAACAAAUGGCCCAGCGUUUCCGCGAGAAUUCAGAAGACGACGAGGCACAUUCAGAACCUCGACUUGACCUAGAGGAAGACCGGGACGAAGAGCAGGCAGAAUCAUUCACCUGUAAUAUAGUAGAGGUCUCAGGAUGGGAUGCUGAUGAAGGGUUUAGCAGCGAAGCAGACGCUUUCGCGGUACUCGAAAGGGAACACGGGAUCAUUGACACUCCUCUAGUCCCAGUUCCUGAACAAUUCUCCUUUCAAGUCGGAAUGGUGUUCUUCAUUUCGGAAAGAUACGCUCUCCCACCAAACACAACCUGCAGUGCGGCAGCUAUUCCCGUCAGCAGCGAGGAUGUCAGUAGCAUACCCCCGCCAUGCAGCAGCGAAAUGGGCCCAGUUCUGGCACAGGCCGACGACGCCCCACAGGUGGAAAUUACGAGCAGCAUCAAACACAAGCAAACUCUAACCUUCUCCACACCAACUUUAGACAUGGCCACCCACAUGCGGCCACUGUAUAUCACGGCCGAAGUCGAAGGGAAAAUGAUCAACAAGGUCAUGGUCGACACCGGUGCCGCGGUCAAUGUUGUCACAACCCGUACCAUGGGACUCCUAGACAUUCCGCGCUCGAUGAUCCAAACCACGUCAUUAACAGUCAAGAACUUCACCGGGCAAGUGUCUAGAACCCUAGGCUUGCUAUUCCUACGGGUCAAGGUCGGGCCGGCAUCACGGGUUUACACCUUUUUCGUCGCCGAAUGCGCUUCCUCUUACAGCAUGAUUCUUGGCCGAGAUUGGAUCCACAAAGUUUUUGCGUGCCUUCCUCCAUGCACCAAGAACUCAUGAUUUGGGACGCCGAGAACCGUGAAGCGGUCAUCAUCAAAGCUGACCCACGGCCAUUCUCUAUCUCCGCCAACUUCAACGAUGCCCGAUAUUAUACUACAGACUUGGGUCCUUGGAUGUUCAAGGCGUCGAUAACAAGGGCCGCCCAUAUGGAAUCACGGCCUCCAAUUUAACGCGAUGGGGACUUACCCAGGCGAAGGACGACUUGCAACGUCCUCACACCAUCGCGAAUCCCACACCCCGGUCUGAUGAAUAGUGCCUUCUCAGAGGAGGCACGCGAGGCUGGCGAGUCCUUGUGCGAAAG